GGGCGAGUCACUGCGCCUGCGCGUGCCCCCCCCAAACCCAACUAUUGGCGCAGGUGUAAGGGGUAUUAAGCGCUAGCUGGGGCGAGGCUGAGGGUUUGAAUUUCUCUCUGGGGGCGGGGCGGUAGCGAGCGCAACGGGUUAAGUGCACGUAGGCGAAGCGCAGGAACUGGCGUCACGGAACUGUGUUCGAGACCUCGGCUUCCCACCUGCAGGCUUGUCGCUUUGCAAGCGGUAAAGCAGGGCAACAAAGGGGAAAAAAUUAACCUCCAGGAGCAGUGGAUUUGUAGUGCAGGAACUGAGCCCCAGCAAUAACCCUGGAGGCAAAAAAAAAAAAUUAAGUAUCUUCUGAGCCGAUCUUGGAUGGACCUUGAAAAAUUCAUGUUAAGUGAAAUAAGUCAGAAACAGAAGGAUGAAUAUGGGAUGGUCUCAUUCUCAGGCAGAAGUUGAAAAACAAGAUCAGAAAAGAAAACACAAGUAGAACCUGAGAUGGAAUUGGUGUAUCGCACCAAAGUAAAAGACUCUGGGGUGGGUGGGGAGAAUACAGGUCCAUGAAAGAUGAUGAAUGACAUAGUGGGGGUUGUAUUGUUAAAUGGGAAAC